rnacentral:misc_RNA from 1 species
GAUGAAGAACGCAGCGAAAUGCGACAAGUAAUGUGAAUUGCAGAAUUCAGUGAGUCAUCGAAUCUUUGAACGCACAUUGCGCCCUGUGGUAUUCCGCAGGGCAUGCCUGUUCGAGCGUCAUUUCAACCCUCAAGCUCUGCUUGGUGUUGGGCCCUGCCCGCUGCGGCCGGCCCUAAAGACAGUGGCGGUGCCGCCUGGCCCUGAGCGUAGUACAUCUCUCGCUCCAGUGCCCGGUGGUAGCCUGCCAGAACCCCAACUCUCGUGGUUGACCUCGGAUCAGGUAGGGAUACCCGCUGAACUUAAGCAUAUCAAUAAGCGGAGGA